rnacentral:lncRNA from 1 species
CUGAUCUCGAAGCCUUGGAACUUCUGCUCUAAACCAUGACCUACUUUGCUCUAGAGGUGGAAGUCACUAAGCGCUGAGGCAGUGCCUCCAAAGGACAGAAGCCGCAAAGGGUCUUGCUUCCAGCUCUUUGGGUAGCUAAGAAACAUCUUGCUCUCCACGGUGUUCUUACAGGGUACCAGAAACAUCUCUCACAAAGGCCUGUGAAACACAGCUUCUUUCCAGCCCUGAUCUCGCUGAGGUAGAACUUCUGCUCUGCCAUGUCCUACAUUGCCCUAGAGGUGCAAGGCACAAUGUCCUGCCUUGUUUCCUCAAAGGGAGACAGGCCACAAAGAUUCUUGCUUCCACAUCUUUGGGAAGCUAAGAAAAAACUCGCUCUCCAAAUUGCUCUUACAGCCUAC